rnacentral:rRNA from 1 species
UACAGAGGUCCCAAGCGUUGUUCGGAUUCACUGGGCGUAAAGGGUGCGUAGGCGGUCAUUUAAGUCUGACGUGAAAUCUCCGGGCCUAACCCGGAAACUGCGUUGGAAACUAUCUGACUAGAGGAAUGGAGGGGAGACUGGAAUACUUGGUGUAGCAGUGAAAUGCGUAGAUAUCAAGUGGAACACCAGUGGCGAAGGCGAGUCUCUGGACAUUUCCUGACGCUGAGGCACGAAAGCCAGGGGAGCGAACGGG